GACGAACGCUGGCGGCGUGCUUAACACAUGCAAGUCGAACGGAAAGGCCCUGCUUUUGUGGGGUGCUCGAGUGGCGAACGGGUGAGUAACACGUGAGUAACCUGCCCUUGACUUUGGGAUAACUUCAGGAAACUGGGGCUAAUACCGGAUAGGAGCUCCUGCUGCAUGGUGGGGGUUGGAAAGUUUCGGCGGUUGGGGAUGGACUCGCGGCUUAUCAGCUUGUUGGUGGGGUAGUGGCUUACCAAGGCUUUGACGGGUAGCCGGCCUGAGAGGGUGACCGGGAAGAAGGGGAGAGAGAUACAGGCAAGACGAAGAAGGGAGGCAGCAGUGGGGAAGGUGGAACAAUGGGCGGAAGACAGAAGCAGGAAAGGGGAGUGAGGGAAGAGGGAAUAAGGGUUGUAAACAGCGAAGGCCUGGGAAGAAGAGUGAGUGAAGGAAAAGGGUAAAGAAGAACAGGAUAAUGAAGAG
rnacentral:rRNA from 1 species